rnacentral:lncRNA from 1 species
ACUCAUAAGGACAUUUAUGCUUGUCGGAUCAUGUGUUCUGAUUUCUGGUACUCGAUGCCCUGCCAAGGAUUGAUUCACUCUUGCCACAUGUUCCCCAGGCCUAGUGCAUCAAGAGAAGACUUGGCAAGCACCUCAUCUCUCAGGACACUGGGGCACACAGCCCAGUGAGCUUUUUCUCCCAGGCCCAGGAAACUGAACCGAUCUGGAAAAUUUGGAAAUUUUCAGAAGACUAACAAAAUCAUUGCCCCGAUUCAGGUUUUGGAUAAAGGAUCUGCAGUUACAACAACAUAUGAGCAAGUAAAGAAUGGCACAGUCAAAACUGAACACGUAACCACAUAACUGCUGGAAGGUGACAGAAUGGAUAAAUGAUUAGAAAUGAAGGGUGUGAAUUUGCGAGGGCUUCCUGGAGGAGGUGACCUUUCAGCCUGAUCUCAGGAGAAGUGGAGGAACUGCACUGGUGAAGAGGAGGCAGGACAUUCCAGGGAAAUACAUGACAUUAUUGAGUAUCUUGAGGCUCCCAGCAAAACAAACUGCUUUCAGGUCUGUGCAAUGCCUAGAAGAAUGACUGAUCAUUUUUAGAAAGACACUCAGAGGACUUGACAGGAAAGAGAGCCCCUGGCAGAGAGAAGCAUGAAGACUGGAGUCAGAAUAUUCACUUUCUGAUGAAGCAUUGUUGGGGAGAAAGUUCAUUUUGCCAUGGCCUCCAGAGGGACUCUCUGCUUCUCUAGGCCAAGAACCUGGCUCUGCACACCCACAGCGAUCUCCAUAUGACUUUUGCAUAUAUCAGCAAGCGAUUGCUGCAUUUAAAGAUGCUCUUCUGGAGCUGGGACUGUGGCAAACCAACCUUUCUCAACUCUACAUCCCAGAUGUUUCCCCACUUGCUUGUCUGUUUUUAAUAAGCUGGAGAUGAAGUUGAAGGAUGAUCUGGCUGAGCAGGGAG